GGCCUCGUAGCUCAGCUGGUAGACUAUGCACGUACAAAGCGUAGGUGGCGUCCAUGCGUGGGUUCGAAUCCCACCGAGGCUA
rnacentral:tRNA from 1 species